rnacentral:antisense_RNA from 1 species
UCACUUUGGUGGUUAUGAAGUGAACGCACUGAGAAGAGCAAGGGAAACAGGAAGCAGGCCUCUGAGCCCAAGCUAAGCCAUCAUAUGUCCUGUGACCUGCACGUAUACAUCCAGAUGGCCUGAAGUAACUGAAGAAUCACAAAAGAAGUGAAAAUGCCCUGUUCCUGCCUUAACUGAUGACAUUACCUUGUGAAAUUCCUUCUCCUGGCUUAUCCUGGCUCAAAAGCUCCCCCACUGAGCACCUUGUGACCCCCACCCCUGCCAGCCAGAGAACAACCCCCUUUGACUGUAAUUUUCCAUUACCCAAAUCCUAUAAAACAGCCCCACCCCUAUCUCCCUUCGUUGACUCUCUUUUUGGACUCAGCCUGCCUGUACCCAGGUGAUAAAAAGCUUUAUUGCUCACACAAAGACUGUUUGGUGGUCUCUUCACAUGGACGCAAGUGAAAUUAUUAUUUAAGCCUUCCAACCUAUCUAAUAUCUGAACCUCAACUCUUCAUCUUACUAACUAAAUGACAUCAGGGGAACAACUUAUUAACCUCUCUAAGUCUGUUUAUUCACCUGUGGGUAAUACCAUUAACAUCUCCUGAAUAGAUUCGUGGUAAUAAUUGAAUGAGGUCUUCAGUGUAGAGAGCUAAACAGUAUGCCCAUUUAAAAAGUGAUUGCUGCUGCUCUAUCUUCCCAGCCCAGGGGGUUCUUGGACAUUCUCCCCAUGAUGAGUGCCCCUCUUCUGAAGUGGGGGUAGAAUGUAGUGGUCUCUUAAAGAGGAUCACUCAUGUUAGGAUCACUGAGCUUGGGUUUUAAUAUCUGUAUGUAUGGGACUGGGUUUUAGAAAAUGAAUUUUCUCAUGACCAAAAUAUUAGUCCUCCUUUUUUCCCUUAGAUGUAAGGGGAAAUUUUACAAGUAAGCUCAGUUAAUUUUGGGAGGGCCAUCUGUGAAAUCUGAGGCAUUUAUGACAUAAACUCAAAUUUUCUCUUCUUUCGAUUUCCUGGAAUGGUGAACAUGGAGUGUCUUAACUUGUGUAUUGAGCAUGGUUUAGGAGUCUGUUGUCAAUUUUACAGUCUUUUGACCUCUAUAUAUUUGGCAUGCUGAGCUUCUUGCCAUUGAUCUAAAGUACCAGGCCCAUUCAUACACAUUGUAUACUUUCCACACCUUGCUGAGAAUUCUCUUCCCUUUCCUUUUCAUCCAGAAAAACUCCCACUCAGUUUUCAAGUACCAAUUCACAUGUCUCCUGCAGUGUGAAGCUUUACACUUCCUUUUGGCUGGAUAAGUUGCUCACUCUGUCCUCCUUGCUCAGAUGGCACUUUGUCAGCUUCUCUAAAUUGUACUAGCCAAACACUGUCAUAAUCCAUUUACACAUAAGUCUCUCCCAAAAGGUAAAUUCCUGAGGGUCAGGGACCAUUUCCAGCUGUAUAUCUCCUCCUUCCCUGGCUCAUUCCCUAUUUCUCCUCACUUCCACUUCUCCAAGAUUGUAUCCCAAUAAAAUGUUAGCUCAUAAA